GGUCUUAUAUUCAAGAAAUGAUGUUAGAAUGCAAUUCUAAUGGUGUAAAUGUUACUAAGACUU
rnacentral:tRNA from 1 species